rnacentral:tRNA from 1 species
CGGACCGCUGGCUGGGCGGCAUGCGCCGGCUGGCGGCCGGCCUCGGCUGAGGCGGUUCAACGGCGCCGGUCCCACCA